UCGAGUUCUAAACUCCCAAACCUUUGUGAACAUACCUAUGUUGCCUCGGCGGGGGUUAGCCCGCCGGCGGCCAACCAAACUCUGUUUUCUUUACGAAUCUCUGAGUACAACUAUAAAAUAAAUUA
rnacentral:misc_RNA from 1 species